rnacentral:lncRNA from 1 species
UAGGCUAGGUCAUGUGUACAAGAAUAGGAUAGACAGGUUAAUCAAGAAGGAUGUCUUUGAAAUUAAUGAUUGUGAAUUAUUACUAACCUGUGAAUCCUGUCUACUUGGUAAGAUGACCAAAUCACUUUUUAAGAAAAAAAGUGAAUGAGCCAGUGAUAUUUUAGGUCUAAUACAUAGUGAUGUAUAUAGACCCAUGAACAUAGGCACC